rnacentral:rRNA from 1 species
CCUACGGGAGGCUGCAGUGGGGAAUAUUGCACAAUGGGGGGAACCCUGAUGCAGCGACGCCGCGUGAGUGAAGAAGGAUUUCGGGAUGUAAAGCUCUAUCAGCAGGGAAGAAAAUGACGGUACCUGACUAAGAAGCCCCGGCUAACUACGUGCCAGCAGCCGCGGUAAGACGUAGGGGGCAAGCGUUAUCCGGAUUUACUGGGUGUAAAGGGCGCGCAGACGGGUGUGCAAGUCUGGGGUGAAAGGCGGGGGCUCAACCCCCGGACUGCUCUGGAAACUGUAAAGCUGGAGUGCAGGAGAGGUCAGCGGAAUUCCUAGGGUAGCGGUGAAAUGCGUAGAUAUUAGGAGGAACACCAGUGGCGAAGGCGGCUUACUGGACUGCAACUGACGUUGAGGCUCGAAAGCGUGGGGAGCAAACAGGAUUAGAUACCCCGGUAGUC